CCAGCUAUAUGCUUGAAGCUUGCCCUAUGCCAGGUCCUUCAUUCUACUCUGCAUGCACUGUUCCAGAAGACCUUCUUUCACUGCAUGGCUGGCAACUACACAAACAAAAUGGGAGAUGACAACUAUACACUGUGGGAAAUGAACCAGACUGGCCUUUCAUUGUAAACAGGUACUCUGGAUGCUAAGGCCCAAAUAUAACAAUGGAAGACAGCAUCUGAGACAACAUUAUGAGGAAAGAGAAAGGUGGAAGUCUUUAUAUGUGUGAGCAUGUAAGCCUGAAAGAACUACAUAAACAAGUUUAUUUUUCUCAAGUCAACACACCCUCCCCCAGGAGACUUCUAACUGACAAAGGGGGCCUUUAAGGCAGAGAAUAAAAGUUAAACAGAAGGGCCCCAUAUGUAUUUCUGGGUUUUAAUAGAGAGGCAUGAAGUCUUGAGGGCCAGAUGGGAUACUAAUGUGAAAAAAAUUCAAUACUGGCUUCGACAGAAAUUGCUGUGGGAUAGGUCCUAAUCCAGCUCACAGCUAAUUAUGACUCUUAUGAAACUAUUGAAUCUGCUGCCCAAACCAGAAUAAUAUGUGCUAAGCCUAAACAUUUCAGGGAAACAUAUUACUUCUCUUAAGUUGAUCAUAUAUCUUUCAGAAUUUAGAGGUACAUUCAACAAAGCUUGUUGAUGCCUAGAAUAUGCCAGAUACAGAUCUCAAUGCUGG